CCUACGGGUGGCAGCAGUGAGGAAUAUUGGUCAAUGGACGAGAGUCUGAACCAGCCAAGUAGCGUGAAGGAUGACUGCCCUAUGGGUUGUAAACUUCUUUUAUAAAGGAAUAAAACGAGGCACGUGUGCCUUUUUGCAUGUACUUUAUGAAUAAGGAUCGCCUAACUCCGUGCCAGCAGCAGCGAUAAUUCGGAGGAUCCGAGUGUUUUCCGGAUUUAUUGGGUUUAAAGGGAGCGUAGCUGGGUGGUUAAGUCAGUUGUGAAAGUUUGCGGCUCAGCCGUGAAAUUGCAAUUGAUACUGGCAGUCUUGAGUACAGUUGAGGUAGACGGAAUUGGUGGUGUAGCGGUGAAAGGCUUAGAUAUCACGAAGAACCCGGAUUGCGAGGGCAGCUUACUAAACUGUGACUGACAUUGAUGAUCGAAAGUGUGGGUAUCAAACAGGAUUAGAUACCCGGUAGUC
rnacentral:rRNA from 1 species